AUGGGCAAACUGAGACCGCAAGCCCUGGCGAUGUGCUCAGACAGAUGCGCAUGUCCCCCGCUCCAGCUUCCAGGCUCCCAGGCUUCAGUCUUUAGUCGGCCUUUGUUCUGCCACUUUCUCCUGGAAGUCACACCUCCCUCUCUUCCUGCCUGCCACAUCACAGGAGUCUGCACGCACCCAACCGGCUCAAGAGGCUCUGACAGGGAGGAAGCACACAUCCUCUUCACUGCGGAUUCUUUCUUCUUCUUCACGCGGUCCCCAGUUACUGGAGCGCUGCAGAAAAUGUGUAGCCAGGCACAUGUCAAUGACACGUUUCAGCAGGGUGCCUCCUCAGAUGUGGGACUUCCAGGUCAAGCAAUGCAUGAUUCUGAUAUUGGUUGAAAUUGCCCUCUGGGUUAAUCUGUAUUUAAAUCAAAUCCUGAAACAGAAAUGGUCAAAACAAUUCUUGGUUAUACUUAUUUGGAAGACAUGCAAUGAAUGAAACCAAACAAACAAACAAAAUCUCUUCCCCCAAGCGCCUAACCCCUCAGCUGGAAUUCACCGAGCUCUGCUAAAUUAUUGCUGGUUUUUAAAUCAUAGAAUGUGGUUUGUGGAAUUGUACUCAUAAAUGGCGAAAAUGUAACAAAUGCACACAUAGUAACUAAGUAAAUUGGCC
rnacentral:lncRNA from 1 species